ensembl:snoRNA
CACAGAUGAUGAAUUUAUUGAUGGGAAGAUAGAGACUCUGUGCUGAUUGUCAUGUAAGUUCAGUG